rnacentral:rRNA from 1 species
AUGGUUAUUCAUACUUUGAUGUCUGGAUGGAUUACAGCUAAACAGCAUGGGGUGCAUACAACAAGUGAAGUGGGAGAAUACCAUCUCUCAUGGUACUACUCAGCCACCAGAUGGAGGCGGCAGCGAACCCUAGCCGUGCCCCUGCUGCUCUUCCCCAACGUGCCGCUCGGCUAUCCCUUCGCAUCCGGUGGACAGAAUCGACUCCGGUGGUAUAGAACAAUGAAACCCAUGUCCAGACCUGCUCAUCUCCAUCUGGAUGAUUUUUCAUUCUUUGCCGUCCGGAUAGAUUAUAGUGAGUCGACACCAAAUAGUAGGGUUGCAUACGACAAGCAAAGUGGGAGGAUGCCAUCUCUCGCACUGCUACCCAGGUAA